UUGCCUACGGGGGGCAGCAGUGAGGAAUAUUGGUCAAUGGGCGCAGGCCUGAACCAGCCAAGUCGCGUGAGGGAAGACUGCCCUAUGGGUUGUAAACCUCUUUUAUAAGGGAAGAAUAAUGGCUACGUGUAGCCGGACUGAGAGUACCUGAAGAAAAAGCAUCGGCUAACUCCGUGCCAGCAGCCGCGGUAAUACGGAGGAUGCGAGCGUUAUCCGGAUUUAUUGGGUUUAAGGGGUGCGUAGGCGGAAUGCCAAGUCAGCGGUAAAAUCGCGGGGCUCAACCUCGCUCCGCCGUUGAAACUGGC
rnacentral:rRNA from 1 species